rnacentral:rRNA from 1 species
GACGAACGCUGGCGGCGUGCUUAACACAUGCAAGUCGAACGAUGAUCCGGAGCUUGCUCCGGGGAUUAGUGGCGAACGGGUGAGUAACACGUGAGUAACCUGCCCUUGACUCUGGGAUAAGCGUUGGAAACGACGUCUAAUACCGGAUAUGACCUUUGCCGGCAUCGGCUGGAGGUGGAAAGAUUUUUUGGUCAAGGAUGGACUCGCGGCCUAUCAGGUAGUUGGUGAGGUAAUGGCUCACCAAGCCGACGACGGGUAGCCGGCCUGAGAGGGUGACCGGCCACACUGGGACUGAGACACGGCCCAGACUCCUACGGGAGGCAGCAGUGGGGAAUAUUGCACAAUGGGCGAAAGCCUGAUGCAGCAACGCCGCGUGAGGGAUGACGGCCUUAGGGUUGUAAAGCUCUUUCAGCUGGGAAGAUAAUGACGGUACCAGCAGAAGAAGCCCCGGCUAACUCCGUGCCAGCAGCCGCGGUAAAC